AGUGAACGCUGGCGGUAGGCCUAACACAUGCAAGUCGAACGGCAGCACAGUAAGAGCUUGCUCUUACGGGUGGCGAGUGGCGGACGGGUGAGGAAUACAUCGGAAUCUACUUUUUCGUGGGGGAUAACGUAGGGAAACUUACGCUAAUACCGCAUACGACCUACGGGUGAAAGCAGGGGAUCUUCGGACCUUGCGCGAUUGAAUGAGCCGAUGUCGGAUUAGCUAGUUGGCGGGGUAAAGGCCCACCAAGGCGACGAUCCGUAGCUGGUCUGAGAGGAUGAUCAGCCACACUGGAACUGAGACACGGUCCAGACUCCUACGGGAGGCAGCAGUGGGGAAUAUUGGACAAUGGGCGCAAGCCUGAUCCAGCCAUACCGCGUGGGUGAAGAAGGUCUUCGGGUUGUAAAGCCCUUUUGAUGGGAAAGAAAAGCAGCAGGUUAAUACCCCGCUGUUCUGACGGUACCCAAAGAAUAAGCACCGGCUAACUUCGUG
rnacentral:rRNA from 1 species